rnacentral:rRNA from 1 species
AUUGAACGCUGGCGGCAUGCCUUACACAUGCAAGUCGAACGGCAGCACGGGAGCAAUCCUGGUGGCGAGUGGCGAACGGGUGAGUAAUAUAUCGGAACGUGCCCAGUCGUGGGGGAUAACGCAGCGAAAGCUGUGCUAAUACCGCAUACGAUCUACGGAUGAAAGCGGGGGAUCGCAAGACCUCGCGCGAUUGGAGCGGCCGAUAUCAGAUUAGCUAGUUGGUUGGGUAAAGGCCCACCAAGGCCACGAUCUGAAGCUGGUCUGAGGGGACGGCGAGCCACACUGGAACUGAGCCACUGUCCAGACUCCUACGGGAGGCAGCAGUGGGGAAUUUUGGACAAUGGGCGCAAGCCUGAUCCAGCAAUGCCGCGUUCAGGAUGGAGGCCUUCGGGUUGUAAACUGCUUUUGUACGGAACGAAACGGCCCUUUCUAAUACAGGGGGCUAAUGACGGUACCGUAAGAAUAAGCACCGGCUAACUACGUGCCAGCCGCCGCAGUAA